rnacentral:rRNA from 1 species
GAGUUUGAUCUUGGCUCAGGAUGAACGCUGGCGGCGUGCCUAAUACAUGCAAGUCGAGCGAACGGACGAGAAGCUUGCUUCUCUGAUGUUAGCGGCGGACGGGUGAGUAACACGUGGAUAACCUACCUAUAAGACUGGGAUAACUUCGGGAAACCGGAGCUAAUACCGGAUAAUAUUUUGAACCGCAUGGUUCAAAAGUGAAAGACGGUCUUGCUGUCACUUAUAGAUGGAUCCGCGCUGCAUUAGCUAGUUGGUAAGGUAACGGCUUACCAAGGCAACGAUGCAUAGCCGACCUGAGAGGGUGAUCGGCCACACUGGAACUGAGACACGGUCCAGACUCCUACGGGAGGCAGCAGUAGGGAAUCUUCCGCAAGUGGGCGAAAAGCCUGACGGAGCAACGCCGCGUGAGUGAUGAAGGUCUUCGGAUACGUAAAACUCUGUUAUUAGGAAGAACAUAUGUGUAAGUAACUGCGCACAUC